rnacentral:rRNA from 1 species
UAGUAUUCAAUUGUCAGAGGUGAAAUUCUUGGAUUUAUUGAAGACUAACUACUGCGAAAGCUUUUGCCAAGGAUGUUUUCAUUAAUCAAGAACGAAAGAUAGGGGAUCGAAGACGAUCAGAUACCGUCGUAGUCUUAACCAUAAACUAUGCCGACUAGGAAUCGGGCGACGUUAUUUUCAUGACUCG